rnacentral:rRNA from 1 species
GUCUAGUGAUGACAGCGAAGAGGUCACACCCGUUCCCAUGCCGAACACGGAAGUUAAGCUCUUCAGCGCCGAUGGUAGUUGGGGGUUUCCCCCUGUGAGAGUAGGACGUCGCUAGGCA